ensembl:lncRNA
AAACAACGGAAAGAUUUAAUAUUUUUGCAGUGUUUACUUAAAAUGAGGAUUGUGAUUAAGAUUGUUGUGCGUUUCGUUCAAGACAAGUAUGUAUUUGUUUUGAAACAAAUGUAAUCCGCCUUCAAACAAUUAAACGAUCAGACUCGUUUAGACUUGAUUAGCUCUAGUUAAGGGGCGUGGCAAUGUGAUUAGCGGGCUUCUCAAUUGGCUGUUGUCUUCGCAGACGUCGCUCGCUAUUGGCUGCGCUGUGGGAGUAGCAGAGAGCGUUUAAAGUACAGUACUGCAGCCUUUGAAGAAGGCAGAGUGAGGUAUGACAGAUGAGGCUGCUCUGCAUGCGAUGUUCUCCGUUUGCAUAGAUGAAAACACCUCUCGAUAUGCAAGAACUAUUUCAUCAUUAGAUGGGGAAGGAUAUUCCUGUAGACUGCUUUUAUUUCCAGCUGUGCACAUUGAAUGAUUUGAAACCCUGCUUGGAUCAGUGCUAAACCCAUGGAAGAGCUAGACGUGGAUUAAAGCACUGACGACCCGAUCAACAUCGAGUGGUUGACGGAGAAGUGCAUUGGCAAAACAAAUCGGCAAGACUACCUUCAUCGAAGCAACUGA